rnacentral:rRNA from 1 species
GAUGAACGCUGGCGGCGUGCCUAAUACAUGCAAGUCGAGCGAAAGGAUGCGAAGCUUGAUUCUAUGCUGUUAGCGGCGGACGGGAGAGUAACACGUGGAUAACCUACAUACAAGAAUGGGAUAACUAAAGGAAACCGAAGCUCAUACAGGAUAAUAUUUUGAACCGCCUGGUUCAAAAGAGAAAGCCGGUCUUGCUGUCCCUUCUAGAUGGAUCCGCGCUGCAUUAGCUAGUUGGUAAGGUAACGGCUUACCAAGGCAACGAUGCAUAGCCGAACUGAGAAGGUGAGCUAGCCGGCUGGAACGGAGGAACGGCCCAGACUGCUACGGGAGGCAGCAGUAGGGACUCCGGCGGGAAGGGGGGGAGCCUAAUGGAGCAAGGCCGCGUGAGUGAUGCAGGUAUUCUGAUCGUAAAACGAUGUUAUUAGGAAAGUACAGAGGUGUAAGUAAGGAUGCAGAUCGUGACGGUACCUAAUGAGGAAGCCACGGCUAACUACGUG